UGAGGGGAGGCUCGGGGCAGCGGCCCCAGGAAGCGCUGAGAGCUGCAGCACACACACGCAGCAGGGACCAGCAGACGCCAGCCCGAUGGCGAUGGCGGAAGCUCCCAGCCCCCCUGGUUCUGAGGAACAGCAGGCACUGCUGGUGGAAGAAGGCGCAGGGAUCGCCACUCAGUGGAGCGUGGAAGACGAGGAGGAUGCCGCCCAGGGGCAGUGCCAGCAGCUUCGGGCCCAGGAUGAGGCUGAAGGAGGCCAGUCCCUGGAGCGGCCGGAAGAGGAGAAGCUCCUCAGCCCGAAGCCCCCGGAGGGCCCUGAACUGGACGAGGAUGAGGGUUUCGGCGACUGGUCCCAGAAGCCAGAGCGGCGGCUGCAGCGCUGGGGGGCUGCGGAGACCCCGGGCGGAGGGACCCCCCCUCGGGGCGAGAGUCCGGAGCUGGGGCAGGAGGAAGACAGGCCCCGCCAGCACACCUUUGGGAGCCAGGGUGGCGACGAACUGACCCCAGCCGGGGUCUGUCUGGAGGAGCUGCAUCUGAGCCCCGACUCAGAGCCCCAGGAGGGGCCGGGAACAGAGGACACAGAGCCCAAAGGCCCCGAGGGACCCGUCCAGGGCAGCCCAGGGCUGGCAGAGACCAAGGAGGCCAAUGAACAGCACCAGAGAUGCCAGCAGCGCAGGACACCCAGCCCCUUGGUCUUGGAGGGGAUGGAACCGGGCUCGCCUCCCCUGAGCCCCAGCACCAAACUCAGUGACAGAACUGAGUCCCUGCACCGCUCCAUUCAGAAGAGUAACAGUGUGAAGAAGUCCCAGCCAGCCCUGCCCAUCUCCACGAUUGAUGAGCGGCUAGAGCAGUACACCCAGGCCAUCGAGACCUCUGGCCGGACCUCAAAGCUAGCCCGCCAGCCAUCCAUCGAGCUGCCCAGCAUGGCCGUGGCGAGCACCAAGAGCCGCUGGGAGAUGGGAGAGGUGCAGGCUCAGUCCUCUGCCAAGUCCCCCUCCUGCAAGGAUAUUGUAGCUGGAGACAUGAGCAAGAAGAGCCUCUGGGAGCAGAAAGGAGGCCCCAAGGCUUCCCCGACGCUUAAGAGCACCCUGUCUGCAAAGAGGUACAAGUUUGUGGCCACUGGACACGGGAAGUACGAGAAAGUGCUCGUGGACGAGGGCUCAGCGCCCUAGGCCAUCCUUCUUGCAUCUAGGCUGAGACCCCACCCCUUUGUCUCCCAUCAGCGAGUCCCCCUCAAGCUCUGCAUCCAGGCGGGGGAAGCAGAGGUGGCAGAGAAGGGGUAGGGGUGUGGGGCCAGCUCCUACCUGGUCCUGGACCUGGCUGCCCGCCCCUGUAAGGCCUCCGUCCUUGGGAGGCACGGCUGUCAAGCCGCCGAUGCAGCUAACGGAGCCCACGGUGCCCGCGACUGAGCCAUCCUGACCACUCCCCCUCUGCAUGGCAGCAGAACUUACCCCCCAACCUUUCUCGGCAGAAGGGCGGGGGCCCCAGAAUCCUGCACGUCCUGUCAAAGCACCAGGGCUCGUCAUCCAGAGCAUCCGGGGCUCAGCUGGGCCCUGAUCCCCGCCUGCAGCUUCCCUGGACCCAGGCAGGCCCUCCCAGCUUUCCCAAGACUGCAGCACCGCCGGCGGCACCUCCUGGCUCCUGACCCACGUGCACAGGGGAGAGGCCGGCCAGACGAACACCCCCCCGCCCCCCACUGGCCCUGCCGAAGAAGCUGCUUCUUAUGGUCUGCCUGGCCCGCAUGCACCCCCGACAUCCGCCACCUCUCGCUCCUGGACCCUCCGACCUCUUCCUCUGACCCCCAGCUCUGCCCCUCACAGUUCUGGGAGAAAAGGAACUCUGGCUGUUGGUUGGCCAAAGGACCACCUCCAGACAAGCCGCAAGCUCCCAGGGAAGGCGCAGCCGGUGCAGAGAGAGGCCACGUGCCGGGGCCUCCGUGUCAAGAGCCACCAACACUCGCAACGGCACUGGGCCCCCCACCCACCCCGCUUGCAGCCCUCCACUUUGUGCAGUAAACUCCCUCCGGUGUCUCCAUGUGCUGGCUCUCUGGGGCUCACUGAUGGGGGAGGGGCAGGGAGCAGGGCCCGUUGGAAAGGCCAUCCGUCCUGCACAGUGGCAGGGCCCAGGCCUCUGGCCUUCAGAUUUGGACACUGUCCUGUCCAGUGACCUUCUGUGUGUUAGGCUCUGGGGUCUCUGAGGGUAGUCAGGGUGAAUGUGAUGGGUGGGGGCUCAGUCAUCCUCUUCCACUGUGGUACUUGCCCCUUGACUGGCCCCUUAUAAACUCUACAGCCCCUGAAACACUGUGCACUUCU